UUCAGUACUUCUACUCUUUUGAAGGAAGGUUAAAGAAGGUUCAGUGCCUGCAGAUGAUCUGAAGCAUCUCAUGUUAAAGUUGAUCUCUUCAGCUGUACAGUGCGUCUUGGCUCCAUAUGUAUUAAGAACAGGGAACUGAGAAAGCAGGAACACCAUAUGAUUGGACAAGACAACGCUGCUUUUGAAAACACCAGUCCACAGCAUCCCCAGAGGGUAUGAAGGAGAUGGACCACAGCACUGGAAGCAGAGAGCCUAAUUACAAGUGAGCAAAAGAAAACGAAGUUAACCCCCAAAAGCCAAAGUUAUUCCUAAAGCAAUAAACUGUUAAAGGAAAUACUGCAGAUAUGACCAAUCGAAGGGAAAAAAACCUAACACAGAAAGUGAAAUAAACUGAUUAGGUAAAGAAAAAACCCACUAUGAUUUCCCUCAGGUUUGCAGUGUUUAAAACAAAUGAGGUAAGAUUGCCUACCCUUUCCUUUCACUGCAUUGCCUUCUUCAAUAAUCACUCAAGUGACAUCACCUAAACAUUAGUUUCUAGAUGGGAGCAUAAGUUAUUAUUACUGCAUAUCACUGCCUGCUUACUGAAUGCCCUGUAACACCAGAACCAUUAAUAACUCUCCUGACAGGCUACAGGCUUGGUUCCACAUCACUGCAGUCAGCAAAAGCAAGCAUGCGCUAAAAGACAAGGCCUUCAUGACUUAGAUUUGGCUGAUUUCAGUGAAAAUCACACUGGGCACAAACUUACUUUCUGCUAAAGAAGAGCCAUACUUGAAGAGUUUAGAGACAAAAGAGCUAUACCCAACUAAACCAAUUUCCUCUGAAAAUAAAGCAAGGGCAUCUGAGGAACAGAAAAACACUUAGCCACACCAUGCUUAUAGACACUUAGGAGAAGCAGCCACCUAAAAGCAGUUCCCUGUGUAACCAGGGCUGCAGAAGCUAAAUGCUCACUAUAGACUUCACCUGUCAAUCCCAAGCCGCACAUGCUGGCCCGCCCUGUAAUAUCUCUGCCUCUGUGCAUCCACUGGUGAUGUCUCCCUGGUUGUUUGACCUGGCACCAGCAGGGAAGCAGAGGCUCUGGGUCCUACUGCCAGAGAAGGCAGAGCCUCGCGCUGGGUGAUCUGACUAUUGCCUCAAGUCCAAGGAUGCAGGUCUUGCCUUCCUGAGUUUUGAACUGCACCUUCCAGUAGCUGCUCAGCCAGGACUGGACAGCCUGAGAGGUAAGCAGCCUUCCCUAGGAUGUAGCAAUGGGCAAUCGGCUUCUGCCAGCUGCUGCUGUGCACUGGCAAGGGGUCAGUGCUACAGGCUGCUGUCUUCUAACUAGUGUUUGCAGAAGGAGGCAGGCCUCGGGGUACGCCGUCAGUGCUGGUCACCUCCUGGGAAACUGCAAUUGACUUUGGAGGUAAACAGCAUCCCCAGCCCAGUGCUGCAAGCUUGGCACAGUAGCUUCUCAGCAGGGCUGACAGUAAUAACUUUUUACUAUAAUCUCUACGACUUUAUCAUGCUGUAUGUACUGCACGUGCCAGGACCAGAUUCUACAAAGAGAAGCCCUGUUGUGGUUAGGUUAAAAAUUUGAUGCUGAAUGUUCUCCAAAGUCAACCAAGCCAUAAAAGAAGAAAGAGACUGAGGUUUUUGUGAUUCAGUAAGAUGUACAUGUUAGCAGGAAAGAGACUACUGUACUUUAAUGGAUAUAUGGAGAAGCCAAUGAGACCCAGCAGGCCAAUAUAUUCUAGAUGAAAUAUUAUCACAAAUGAGGAUGUGUUUUUAUUCAAAGCACCAGCUGUUUACUUUAGAUUUCAGGCAGCUGGGUGGCCUCAUUCAAUGAUUCCCUUACUUUGUUUGGGUUUGCUUUUUCUUGUUAACCUUUCUGUGUAAUUAUUAAUAUAACCUGUUUAUGAAUUGGACUUUUUUUUGCUGCUUGCAUUGUAAUUGAGAUAUAAUCCAUAUUCUUAUUUAUAUUUGCAUUAGAAUUGAGUAUGUAUCAAUUGAUUGAGAUAAGUGGUUUUUAAGAGGUGCUUAGCUCAAGGUGCCAGGUUCCUUUACCAUAGAUUAAAAUUUACAGAAAUAAACACAGCAGCCAUUUUAUGAACUGGAAGGACAAAUGAAACCUUAUUGCAGCUUCUCGUUUCUGCCUCUAUGGCACAAGUCCACCUACAUCUCACCUCUCCCUUCUUCAAAGCCUAGGAAAAGAGAUGGGUUGCCUACUAACUAUGCAAAGGUCCCUUGGGAAGGGGAGUAGGCAUUUUUCAGGAAUGAAACCAGGCCAGCACAUUGGUUACUGAAAUACCAUAAUUAAAAAUUACUUGGAGGUUCUGAUGAAGCAGGAAGAAUUCAACUUCCAUCAUACCCCACACUAUAUGCACCCAUUCUCAUUUUCUAAGUCAUAUGGUUCCUUUCUUCUCUAGUCAAAGGGAAGAGAUUAGCUCCUUCAAGAAAGAUUCA